rnacentral:rRNA from 1 species
AUACGAAAGGGGCAAGCGUUGUUCGGAUUUACUGGGCGUAAAGAGAUCGUAGGUGGUUUAUCAAGUCGGAUGUGAAAUCCCGGGGCUCAACCCCGGAACUGCAUUCGAUACUGGUAGACUUGAGUUCGGGAGGGGGAUGCGGAAUUCCGCGUGUAGCAGUGAAAUGCGUAGAUAUGCGGAGGAACACCAGAGGCGAAGGCGGCAUCCUGGACCGAUACUGACACUGAGGAUCGAAAGCGUGGGUAGCAAACAGGAUUAGAAACCCCGGUAGUCC